GACAGAGGGUGCAAACGUUGUUCGGAAUUACUGGGCGUAAAGCGCAUGUAGGCGGUUCGUAAAGUCAGAUGUGAAAGCCCUGGGCUUAACCCAGGAAGUGCAUUCGAAACCGCUCGGCUCGAGUCCCGGAGAGGAAGUUGGAAUUCUCGGUGUAGAGGUGAAAUUCGUAGAUAUCGGGAGGAACACCGGCGGCGAAAGCGGACUUCUGGACGAGGACUGACGCUGAGAUGCGAAAGCGUGGGGAGCAAACAGG
rnacentral:rRNA from 1 species